UUCAUUAUUAUUUUUAAAAAGUGUUUUUAAUAUAGCAAUAGUGUGUAACCUGUCAAAGCGCUGCACCAUUGCGUUUUUAAUCUCAGCGCAGUCCCCCUAGAAUUUAAGAAUAAAAUGGCAUGGUACGUUCCAACACGGACAUCAACUGGGGAACAAAUGCAGUUUGUUUUGUGGCAGAAGUUGUAGCUAAAAUGCACGCAUAGGUAUGGUUAUGAGUUAGCUAUCCAUGCUAGUUAAAAAAGCCGAUUUAUUUAUUUUAAUUUUUAAAAAAGUAUAUUGUGUUAUCUUGCCAAAGGCUGUCAUCACUUUUAAUCGCUGUAGUGUGUUUUAGGCUGCUAGCGUUUGGGUAGUUUCGCUGGCUGACAUUAGCUGUCUGUUAUUAUCAGCUAACUAGGUAGCGUCAUCAUGUUUAAACUUUAAUAAUUAGCAAGCGCUGCUAUAUUGCAAACUAGCUUGUACAACAGUGGGAGGGAACUGCUAGUUACCUAGCAUUUCACAAUGUUACAUUAUCAGAGUAUGUCCUGAAGCCAAGGCUACCACCUUGCUAGUGGUUACAAAGAAGAUAGGAAAGUGGGCGACAGUUAGCUAGUUAGUCUAAUUAUUCUAUCUACAGUACUGACCGUUUGUGCACUGUUGAACUAGCAAUAGCCAGCAUAUGCCUCUUUGACCCUAACCUACUUACUAGAUGCCUGGCUUCUCUAUGUGUAACGUACACUUGUUCAUGCCUAUCCAGCCCUAAUUUAACUCCAGAGAUACGGGUCUAUCUAAAACAUUUUGGAGCAAACUUAAGUCGCCAGUACGUUAACUAGAGUAAUUAGCUAGCCUACUUAAAUGGGCAAUCUGAGGUUACUACAAUCAUUUUUAGACCUUUAAAUACAUUUUACAUAGGAUACCCAUUGAUAAUUGAAUAAUAUAACUCGUAGAUGCCUCAUGAGCUUAGUUCAACUGUCAUACCCAUCAGAACCCAACAUGUAAACGUGUUUUUAUUCCUUUUGUUUGCAAACACUGUAUAGCUUCAAAAUAUGAUUAAUGCUAUACUUUUGAUAUAGAUCAGGGGUAGGUAACCGUGUUCCUGGAGUGCCACAGGUACCGCAGGACUUUGUCCCAACUAGGCACCACACUGAGUUAGUUACUUAGUUAAUUGAUCAGUUCAGUGAUUGCCUAAAAUCAACAGCUUGUCUUCCAGGUCAGUUCAAUCAAAAACAUGAAGUGCCUGUGCAUUCUAGGACAAAGGUUGCCGACCCCUGUCAUAGAUGGUCAGUACUUGCAUCCAUAGCUAUGUCCAUGAAUUUGAGUGGUUACAUUUCUCAAGCCCCAUCCCGCAGCAGUUUACCAAAUCAGUGGCUGUGUGGUCUGCUCUGUAAUUGUUCAAACUGCACUUUUCCCCUUUAAGACUGCAAUCAAUAACACUUGAGACUGAAUGAUCAACUGUAGUGAAAUGGUGUUCUAUUGCCCUCAAUUGGUGGAUCCCCCUUGCUGUUAACCUUUGGAGACCAAUAGCCCAGUGGUUAUCAAACUCUGGGAUAGUGCAUCAUCAGUUUUCCUCUUGUCAUGUCAAUCAUUGCAUACCUAUUUAUAACUUGUCAGAAAUGUCCAGAUCAACUAGCCCAUGUCAGCUAAUGUUUUUUAGCCCUUUGAUUUUGUUGUAAUGUUUGAGUCACUCAUAUCACAUGAACACACUUUAGACAUGACAGUGUAUAGAAUUGCAAGAAAACUAGCUUUAAAACAGCAACAUUUUCUCUCUGCCAUCAGGAGGGGUGUCAACUGUUUGUGUCGUGAACAGUGCUUGUGCCCAUAGAAAUAGACGUGGCGCCCGCAGGGGGGACGUGGGAUGUUGCCCAAUGCUGGAAGCGGGGCCUGAGUGAAAAGGUUUGGGAAUGUACAGUUUGGGAACCUACAGCUUACAUGAUGUCAGUACAACAGCAAGAAUGAUGUCCCAUUAUGUGAUCACUGUGACAGCUGUCACCUAUGACCUUUCACACAUUUCAAAAGCUUCCAUCUAAACAACCCCCUGACCCACGUUUGCCAAGAGAAGGGUGUUUCACCGCACCCUUCCUAGAAAAACUGGAGAAGUCUGUUUCUGGUAUAUCUCUCUCCUAGUUUAAUUGUAGCAAGGGAUCUAUAUGACUGAUGUGUUUUGCAUUUAGGAAAGUUCUGAUCUCAUGAUUAUCUUGUCACUCCCUACAGUAAUUUCCUCAGUGACUACCACAGAAAUUAAAUGGACAUGUUAAUUAAUGUUCAGGCUUUAGGCUAUAUGAAUCCCCCUCAACGAGAUAGCCCAGUACCGGAGCAUGUAAGCUUUCUCUCGCUUGUGCAUACGGAAGUAUUAUUUUUGGCUUUCAGUACAGAUAUGCUGUUUCAGUAUAAGGAAGUUCUAAUAAUCUAAUAUCCUAUUUUUUGAAAUAUUAACCCCUCUUCAAUCCUGAUGCAGGUGGUAAAGUCAAACCAAAGAGUAAAUACACCGGACAUGAACAUCACCAAAAAUACAUUUAGCAUGGCGGACUCAGGUCGAGGAGCCAGCUACACAGUGCCCUGUGACGACUACAUCCAUGUGGUGGAGUUCAGCCCCUUUGACAGUGGCUCAGCUGCGUCCCUCCUGGCCUAUGGAGGAAGCCAGUAUGUGGUGGUAGGCACCUGCCGCUUCCAGGUGAGUGGUUGCCUGCCAGAUUCCUCUUCCUCAUGUCCUAUUUUUUAGCCUCCCUUCUCAAAAUGCAUCAGAGGAGAAGAUCCUCCCAAGGUUCCUCUCUGAGGAGGCAUGGAUAGGGGACACAAGGAAAUGAGCCAGUGUUUUGGUUCCAUGUGUGAUAUAAACCACUGCUAUAUGUGUGACGUGAACCCCUGUUUGAGCAGGAGGAGGACAUGGAGGUAAAGGGGGUUGAAUUCACCACGCUGCGUGUUUUCCAUCAUGUGUUACGUGUGGAUUGCCUCACAUGGCGUCUCGGCUGGACAAGCUGCCCCAACUCAUCAGAUGUUGCACUGCUGCAGCAGACAGAAAAGUGAGGCUGUUGACUUCUGAUCUUCAGAAUCAACAUGAAGUCAAGGUAGAGUACUGGUGCCCCUGCUCUCACGACUAGAUCCCACUGGAACUACUGCACCUGUCAGUUCAGUUGGCAUCUGCUUUCUUUAAAACAAACCGUUUGUAUAUAGCACACUGACAGUAGGCACUUAGUGAAUGGCUUUUAUAUUAGCCUAAUCAAGAACCCAGCGCACACAAGGAGCCAGGGAACUGUCAUGCAGUCUAUGGGAGGCUCGCACCAAAUGCAGCGUUUUGUUAAUUGUAUCUUCUGUGGCGAUGUCUGUGUGGUUGUCUAGGUGAUUGAGGGUCACACCAGCUACAUCAACCACUUAGUGUUCGAACCCACGGAGGGGAAACAAAUGGCUUCGGUCAGCGAUGACCAUACAUGCAGGUCAGUCCGAACCUCCUCCCGGUCUCAUUCAGCAAGAAUAAUAUGAGUGUGUGAGAGUGUCUUCCCCCAGCUCUUGGAUCUGUGUUCUGUUCUCUGUUAAUGGUGCAGAACGUUCUGACUGUGUUUCCAAAAUGAAACCCAAUGCUUAUCACAACACACCCCGGUGUUGCCGUGCGUAAGCACAUAGCCGCUUCUCCAGCUUUUUAAAGUAAUUGGUUAAAUAUGGAAAUCCAAUUAGCUGCAGUACUGGUGGAGGUUGUUCCCCUCCUUAGGGUUGACUCUUAACAAGGUCCCCCAAUGUGGCCUAUCAAUCAGUAGCUAGGUAGUGGAGCAAGGAAGGAAAGAGUGUGUCAUUAGCCAAAGGGGUAACUAUGGGGUAACCUGGGCACAGGAGGUUGGUGGUACCUUCAUUUGGGAGAACGAGCUCAUGGUAAUGACGAGCACAAUCAGUGGAAUGGUAUCAAAUCCAUGGUUUCCAGGUGUUUGCUAUUCCAUUUGCUACGUUCCGGCUAUUAUUAUGAGCCGUUCUCCCCUCAGCAGCCUCCACUGAACCUGAGGGGACCUCCUGUUACCUUAGUAACUAGGGUUGUUGCUAGGGUCUAGACAGGGUGAAAGCCUGGCCCAAAUCCUACUCCCUCUUUGCUCCUUCCCACACAAUGUGAGCUCUUAUUGUUUGACCAGUGAUUGAUGGGGGAAAACGUUUAAUCAAGUUAGCAACUUAGAAAUGAAUGACUGGCCCCUACUUUUCUCUCCGCUAUGGCCUGAAAGAGCACGUCUCUCAUAUCCAUCUUUAAACCCAAAGCUCCCUGGAUGAGAAACACACCUGAAACAUCUGCUUUCUAUUCAUGAACUCUAAAAUUUCAGGAGCCUGAAGCUCGUGGUUACACUUCCAGUCAUCAAAAACAGGCCAUGGUUGAAUUAUCUCCUCAAUCUCCUUCCGGCCUGCCUAAAUGCUCUAAAGUGUUGGUUAGGAUGAGGGCUGUGGGGAGAGAGAGGCCUCAGCUAGGGCUGGUGAUGAAGCUCUGCUACUGCGAGAAACAUCGGCGCACAGUUCUCCCUCAGCCUCCCUCUAUAAUGGUCUGGCCAGAGAAAACAGGGGUACGCUUUCUCGGCUCCAUCUGCAGAAAGAUUUAAAUUCUGUCACGUUGAGAAAAUAUGGGACGCAGGAGGAAGAGUGAGGUGGAACUAGGGAAAGAUCAAGUUAACAGGAGAGGGGCCUUCCAGGCAGCCCACACAAACUGAGACCCCUGAUAGGGUGAGAGAAAAGAACAGUGGACCGGCUUCUCUACUUGCGUGCGUGUUCGUACACUUGGCAGGUUGUCCUACCAUAACUCUGCUGUGUUCUUUGUCAGCACUGUCCUUUCCUGCGUGGGAACUCUACUCCAGCCGGAGAAGCCACCUGUAGCAGCUAGAAGGAGGUCACAGCCUCCCACUGAGGUCAGAGUGUCUGCCAGAGGUCCCAACCUCUCUGGGCUCGGCUCCCAUUGUGUCUGAUAGCUUCCAGUUGGAUUUGCAGUAGGUAUGUUUCUGUUGUGUGACAGCUCUGGCUUCGUGUUGACACGGAUCAGCAGAAUACAGCUUACUCAAAGGGCUUGAACAGAGACACCUGCUGCAACUAUUUGAUGUGCGAGAUCUACUCUGUGUGUGUGAUCUACUCUGUGUGUCAUCCUUUUGGGAAGUAUUUCUGAGGCGUUAUCACAACAGUUUGAGCCUUUCUCCCCCCUCUAGCCCGUCAGUCAAGCUAUCUGUCAGUUAGUAUGUCCAUGUCCACUCUACAACAUCCCAGUCUUUCAUCUCCUCUUUUCUCAUUUUCUUCUCAUGUUCUCACGCUUUCUUUUUGCUCCGUUGUAGGGGAUCCCAUCAUCAACUCUAGCGAGAGGAGCAAACCGAUCCAAUAAAAAUGACUAAUGGCCGAGUUAAUUAUUUCAACAGUCCAAAUGUCUGUUAAAGAACGUGUUAUUGUUCAAGACACUUGAGCAGGUCCGAUCAAGAUGGAUGUUGGUGUGGUUUCGGGGAGGACGGCGUGCUGUGCACCUCUGCCUGGACUCCCCUGUGAGGCUCUGAGGCGGGAUUACUGUUUGUAUUUCUCAACCCUCGUUCCGCCGAGAGUCACCAAGGUUAUUUACCCUGCACACUCUCAUAAUUUAGUUCACACGGUGCACACUACGUUUCCCAUUUCCUCCACUCAUUUGGAAACCAUUGACCAAAAUGAAAAGGUGUGGCUGCUCACAUCUACACACAGACUUCAAAUGCAGUCUCGCCUUUCAACUCUAUUGUACAUAAAGCCCAGUGUUAUUGCUUGAUGUCACAUCAGUUGUUGUGUUAUGCAAUUACACAGCGCUGUGUCAGUGGUGGUCAGUCUUGUUUCUUGCCCCCUUUCACCUUGUUCAGCAAGGAUUACAUAGAAUAAAAAAAAUGAAAAAAUCUUUCCCCAUUUGAAGGGCAAAGUGGUGGACCACAACUUGGCCGGUUGCGGCGUAGCGUGCGAUUGAACUCUGCUUGGCAAGUGGUCUGAGAAGAGAGGGUUUAUGCUUGUUUGUCUGCUGUGGUCUGAGGUUUCCAACCUCGCUCAUGCUCUAUGGAAGAGGGUCUGCACCGCACUCUACACAGGGCCAUUCUGACUUCUGUGUCGUGUCAAGAAGCAAAAGCUCUCAUGGAGAAAUAUGUUUUAUCCCCUGCAGGGAAGACACAGGAAAAGUUGUGUUUGUUUACUGAGGUCUUCAUCUGUAAUGGGGCAAAAUCAUAUCCUCUCCGCCGCGACUCUGCAAACAUCUCUCCAACAUGUUUGGCAUUUAGACAGGCUUUGGGUCUUUAUUAAUGUCUUCUGCAUGACCUCAUCAGUCAACGCAUUCACAUCAGUCCCAGCCAUACAGUCCUUUAAAAAAAUAUUUUUAACCACUUGCAAGUUUAUUCCUCCCUGGUUCAGGGGAAUGUUCUGUUAGAUACGAGGCCUUGUGUUUGCUGAGGAGGGCUCAGAUGUGGUUGAAGAGUAGAUCCUGGUCUUGGGAGCAGCCUGUCCUCUCCAAGUCUUUUAUUACAUCCGGGCGCACGUUUGCCUUGUCCUCGGCCUUCUCGCUCGUCAGUGCAGGGCCCCGCCCGCCUGUCUUCACAGCUCAAGGGGGAGAUUACAACCAAGAUCCCUUUUUCCCUGAAAGAAGGGCAGUACUAGUGAGGCUCUGUGUGCGCAUCUCUUGGACAACUGACAGAAGUUAGAUAAAUUACACGCAGGCAUUACCUGCUUUCAUAAAAACACUGGCAUCACUACAGGCCUGGUGUGUGCUGCUCACUCAUUAGAGUACAUUCCCGAAGAGAGUCUCACAGACGCCUGGGGAAAGAUGGGUUUGGAUGGAAGCUUGUAACUUUUUUGACAUGGAUCCUGUGAGACAAAAACAGCCAGCCAGCCAUGAUGUCUUUCUUUUAUAUUUUUAGCUGCCAUUAGCAAGUGUAAUCCUUUGUUUUGUGUGCUGUCAGCACCAAGGUGUCUGCCUGCGCUGUGCUGCGCGUCAUCUCCUCUCCCCACACAGGGGGUGGCUGUACUCCGGAAGCUAUUUUUAGCGCUGCCGCUCGUCCCACUCCAGCACAGCUAAUUGAGUGCUUAUUAAUCUUGUUUUUUGGACUUGAUAAUUUCUCAUUUUUGACAGGACCUGUUUUAUCUGAAGCUUCGGACCGGGUUGUUUGUUUGAAUCGCAGACUUCCUGUCUGAGGUUGUUUUCUAAACGGGUAGUUAAGGACAGGAGAAUAAUUUUCUUACAGUCCUUAAACGGUUCAUUUCCCCUGAGCACACCCCCUCUCCGACCAUCCUGUAGUGUCCAGCUAGUGCCCUUUCCCUUUCAUGCCAGAUGGCCUCUCUUGACCCCACAGGGUGUAGGACCUGGAGGGGAAUGAAUCCACUACAUUUAGACUAGGCUCCCCUGGCGUCAGUGUGUGCUGGCAUCCUGAAGAUGUCUUCAAGGUGCGUACAGUAACAGUGCUUUUCAGUUUCAUAAUGAGAGUUUAAAUAAUUAGUGAGAGUGAAAAGUUCUAGUGUGAGAGUGAAAGGUUCUAGUGUGAGAGUGAAAAGUUCUAGUGUGAGAGUGAAAAGUUCUAGUGUGAGAGUGAUAAGUUCUAGUGUGAGAGUGAAAAGUUCUAGUGUGAGAGUGAAAAGUUCUAGUGUGGGAGUGAAAAGUUCUAGUGUGGGAGUGAAAAGUUCUAGUGUGAGAGUGAAAAGUUCUAGUGUGGGAGUUAAUAGUUAUAGUUAUUGUUAAGAGUUAUUUGUCUGUUUGUAGUUACCCACAAGAGAAGAGGCCUGCCUAUGUAGAACGAGCAGGAAACUUCAGGUAACUGCUUUGUCCAUGCUUCCAAGGUCUUUGCUAUCUGGUAUCCUUGGGAUGUCCCUCCCCCAUUGAAAUUGAAAUGUUAAACUUCUUAUGGCUGGGAGCAGUAUUGAGUAGCUUGGAUGAAUAAGGUGCCCAGAGUAAACUGCCUGCUACUCAGUCCCAGAAGCUAAGAUAUUACAAAUUAUUAGUAUAUUUGGAUAGAAAACACUCUGAAGUUUCUAAAACUGUUUGAAUGAUGUCUGUGAGUAUAGCAAAACUCAUAUGGCAGGCAAAAACCUGAGAAAAAAUCCAACCAGGAAGUAGGAAAUCUGAGGUUUGUCGUUUUUCAACUCAUCACCUAUCGAAUAUACAGUGGGAUAUUGGUCGAUAUUGGUUGGGUUGGCGCCCCACCUUGGGUUGCGCCGUGGCGGAGAUCUUUGUGGACCAUACUCGGCCUUGUCUCAGGAUGGUAAGUUGGUGGUAGAAGAUAUCCCUCUCGUGUUGUGGGGGCUGUGCUUUGGCAAAGUGGGUGGGGUUAUAUCCUGCCUGUUUUGCCCUGUCCGGGGGUAUCAUCGGAUGGGGCCACAGUGUCUUCUGACCCCUCCUGUCUCAGCCUCCAGUAUUUAUGCUGCAGUAGUUUAUGUGUCGGGGGGCUAGGGUCAGUUUGUUAUAUCUGGAGUACUUCUCCUGUCUUAUCCGGCCUGAGCCCUAGGACCAUGCCUCAGGACUACCUGGCAUGAUGACUCCUUGCUGUCCCCAGUCCACCUGGCCGUGCUGCUGCUCCAGUUUCAACUGUUCUGCCUGCGGCUAUGGAACCCUGACCUGUUCACCGUGCUACCUGUCCCAGACCUGCUGUUUUCAAUUUUCUAGAGACAGCAGGAGCGGUAGAGAUCUCAAUGAUCGGCUAUGAAAAGCCAACUGACAUUUACUCCUGAGGUUCUGACUUGUUGCACCCUUGACAACUACUGUGAUUAUUAUUAUUUGACCAUGCUGGUCAUUUAUGAACAUUUGAAUAUCUUGGCCAUGUUCUGUUAUAAUCUCCACCCGGCACAGCCAGAAGAGGACUGGCCACCCCUCAUAGCCUGGUUCCUCUCUAGCUUUCUUCCUAGGUUUUGGCCUUUCUAUGGAGUUUUUCCUAGCCACGUGCUUCUACACCUGCAUUGCUUGAUGUUUGCGGUUUUAGGCUGGGUUUCUGUACAACACUUUGAGAUAUCAACUGAUGUAAGAAGGGCUAUAUAAAUAAAUUUGAUUUGAUUUGGUCAUAUGGCACUUCCUAAGGCUUCCACUAGAUGUCAACAGUCUUGAGAACCUUGUUUGAUGCUUCUAUUGUGAAGGAGGGGGGAAUGAGGGCUCUUUGAGUCAGGGGUCUGGCAGAGUGCCAUGAGCUGACCAUGCGCGUUCACGUGAGAGUUAGCUUGCGUUCCAUUGCAUUUCUGAAGACAAAGGAAUUCUCCGGUUGAAACAUUAUUGAAGAUUUAUGAUAAAAACAUCCUAGAGAUUGAUUCUAUACAUCGUUUGACAUGUUACUAACACAUGUUUGUAACGGAACUUUUGGACUUUUCGUCUGCUCGCGCCUCAUGAAUUUAGAUUACUGGGCUAAACGUGCAAACAAAAAGGAGGUAUUUGGACAUAAAUGAUGUACUUUAUCAAACAAAUCAAACAUUUAUUGUGGAACUGGAAUUCCUGGGAGUGCAUUCUGAUGAAGAUCAUCAGAGGUAAGUGAAUAUUUAUAAAGCUAUUUCUGACUUCUGUUGACUCCAACAUGGUGGAUAUCUGUAUGGCUGGUUUUGUUGUCUGAGCACUGUACUCAGAUUAUUGCAUGGUUUGCUUUUUCCGUAAAGUUUUUUUGAAAUCUGACACAGCGGUUGCAUUAAGGAGAAGUAUAUCUCUAAUUCUGUGCAUAACACUUGUAUCUUAUAUUAAAGUUUAUGAUGACUAUUUCUGUAAAUUGAUGUGGCUCUCUGCAAAAUCACCGGAUGUUUUGGAAGCAAAACAUUACUGAAUGUAACUCGCCAAUUUAAACUGAGAUUUUUGGAUAUAAAUAUGCACUUUAUCGAACAAAACAUACAUUUAUUGUGUAACAUGAAGUCCUAUGAGUGUCAUCUGAUGAAGAUCAUCAAAGGUUAGUGAUUCAUUUUAUCUCUAUUUCUGCUUUUUGUGACUCCUCUCUUUGGCUGGAAAAAUGGCUGUGUUUUUCUGUGCGUAGGUGCAGACCUAACAUAAUCGUUCGGUGUGCUUUCGUCGUAAAGCCUUUUUGAAAUCGGACACUGUGGUGGGAUUAACAACAAGUUUAUCUUUAAAAUGGUGUAAAAUACUUCUAUGUUUGAGGAAUUUUAAUUAUGAGAUUUCUGUUUUGAAUUUGGAGCCCUGCACUUUCACUGGCUGUUGUCAUAUCGAUCCUGUUAACGGGAUCCCAGCCAUAAGAAGUUAAAUGGUUACGGUAAGGGUUUAUUGUUAGGGUAGAGGUAGGAAUGUCCCAAGGAUCCUGAAUGCUUCCAAUUCCUCUGACCUUCAGAGUAUUGUGAUGCAUGUUGUGGUAGUCCGGCUGAUACCGCUGCUGCCGACAACGCCCAUGAUAAUGGCUGUGCUGAGGAUGAUAAUGGUGAUGGCAAUUACUGUAACCACGGGUGUCAUGGUCUUCCAGGUGGUCUCGGGUCAAUGAGAAUUUCUUCUCCACAACAGGAAAGAUCAGCAGUUAGUUACUAGUGCAUCACCUGGGUCACCCGCAGGUCAGUGAGCUGUGUGUUUGGCUGUUUGCAUUUACACAGUGUGUCAGUUUCUGAAUAAUACAAGUGUGGAAAUAAUGUUCAGUAAGAGUGUUGGAAGUAAGGAUAACGUAACGUGCUUCCUGGACCUGGUUUCUUAUGUUUAUAUGGUGGUGUUGUUGCAGCCUGUGAUGAUUGGAUCAACCACGGUGGGGGCGGGUCUAAGCUGGCACAGGUCCCUCCCACUCUGUGUCAUUGGCGGUGACCGAAAGCUCUCUUUUUGGAUGACAGAAAUGUAAUGAGGUCACUUCCUAUGGACGUAUUAGAGGUAAUGCAAAUGUACAUUGAAACUGUUUGACCUGAGGUGUGGUCAGAUAUUUAUAUUUUCAUAAUUUUUCAAUAAAGUAUUUCAUUUUCCA